rnacentral:rRNA from 1 species
GAGUGAACGCUGGCGGUAGGCCUAACACAUGCAAGUCGAACGACAGCACAGUAAGAGCUUGCUCUUACGGGUGGCGAGUGGCGGACGGGUGAGGAAUACAUCGGAAUCUACUUUUUCGUGGGGGAUAACGUAGGGAAACUUACGCUAAUACCGCAUACGACCUACGGGUGAAAGCAGGGGAUCUUCGGACCUUGCGCGAUUGAAUGAGCCGAUGUCGGAUUAGCUAGUUGGCGGGGUAAAGGCCCACCAAGGCGACGAUCCGUAGCUGGUCUGAGAGGAUGAUCAGCCACACUGGAACUGAGACACGGUCCAGACUCCUACGGGAGGCAGCAGUGGGGAAUAUUGGACAAUGGGCGCAAGCCUGAUCCAGCCAUACCGCGUGGGUGAAGAAGGCCUUCGGGUUGUAAAGCCCUUUUGUUGGGAAAGAAAAGCAGCAGGUUAAUACCCCGCUGUUCUGACGGUACCCAAAGAAUAAGCACCGGCUAACUUCGUG